rnacentral:rRNA from 1 species
AAUAUUGGGCAAUGGGCGAAAGCCUGACCCAGCAACGCCGCGUGAAGGAAGACGGUCUUCGGAUUGUAAACUUCUUUGAUUGGGGAAGAAACAAAUGACCUACCCAAAGAACAAGUCACGGCUAACUACGUGCCAGCAGCCGCGGUAAUACGUAGGUGACAAGCGUUAUCCGGAUUUACUGGGCGUAAAGGGCGUGUAGGCGGUCUUACAAGUCAGAUGUGAAAUUCCCGGGCUCAACUUGGGCGCUGCAUCUGAAACUGCAAGACUUGAGUGCUGGAGGGGAUAGCGGAAUUCCUAGUGGAGCGGUAAAAUGCGCAGAGAUUAGGAAGAACACCGGUGGCGAAGGCGGCUAUCUGGACAGUAACUGACGCUGAGGCGCGAAAGCGUGGGGAGCAAAC